rnacentral:rRNA from 1 species
UACAGAGGUCUCAAGCGUUGUUCGGAUUUAUUGGGCGUAAAGGGUGCGUAGGCGGCAGAUCAAGUUAGAUGCGAAAUACCCGGGCUUAACUCGGGAACUGCAUUUAAUACUGCUCUGCUCGAGUAUUAGAGAAGAAGCUGGAAUUUACGGUGUAGCAGUGAAAUGCGUAGAUAUCGUAAAGAACGUCAGUGGCGAAAAGCGAGCUUCUAGAUAAUUACUGACGCUGAGGCACGAAAGCCUAGGGGAGCAAACGGG